UACGGGGGGGGCAAGCGUUGUUCGGAAUUACUGGGCGUAAAGGGCUCGUAGGCGGCCAACUAAGUCGGACGUGAAAUCCCUCGGCUCAACCGGGGAACUGCGUCCGAUACUGGAUGGCUUGAGUUCGGGAGAGGGAUGCGGAAUUCCAGGUGUAGCAGUGAAAUGCGUAGAUAUCUGGAGGAACACCGGCGGCGAAGGCGGCAUCCUGGACCGACACUGACGCUGAGGAGCGAAAGCCAGGGGAGCAAACGGG
rnacentral:rRNA from 1 species